rnacentral:rRNA from 1 species
CAAUAGCGUAUAUUUAAGUUGUUGCAGUUAAAAAGCUCGUAGUUGGAUUUCGGAUGGGACUUGCCGGUCCGUCGUUGCGAUGUGCACUGGCCAGUCCUAUCUUGUUGUCGGGGACUAGCUCUUGGUCUUCACUGGCCGGGACUAGGAGCUGACGAGGUUACUUUGAGUAAAUUAGAGUGUUCAAAGCAAGCCUACGCUCUGAAUACAUUAGCAUGGAAUAACACGAUAGGACUCUGGCUUAUCUUGUUGGUCUGUGAGACCAGAGUAAUGAUUAAGAGGGACAGUCGGGGACAUUCGUAUUUCAUUGUCAGAGGUGAAAUUCUUGGAUUUAUGAAAGACGAACUUCUGCGAAAGCAUUUGCCAAGGAUGUUUUCAUUAA